rnacentral:rRNA from 1 species
CAGCCGCCGCGGUAAUACGUAGGUGGCAAGCGUUGUCCGGAAUUAUUGGGCGUAAAGGGCUCGCAGGCGGUUUCUUAAGUCUGAUGUGAAAGCCCCCGGCUCAACCGGGGAUGGUCAUUGGAAACUGGGAAACUUGAGUGCAGAAGAGGAGAGUGGAAUUCCACGUGUAGCGGUGAAAUGCGUAGAGAUGUGGAGGAACACCAGUGGCGAAGGCGACUCUCUGGUCUGUAACUGACGCUGAGGAGCGAAAGCGUGGGGAGCAAAUGGGAUUAGAUACCCCCGUAGUCCCUGUCUCUUAUAA